rnacentral:piRNA from 1 species
UUGGACCGAUCUUUUUGAGGUGGACACAAU